rnacentral:lncRNA from 1 species
CUGGCCUCUCCCAGUCAAGGCCCCGGAGAAGAAUGGAAAAACCAGUUCAGCUUAUUUCCUACUGGGAGUGAGACAAGUGGCGCAGUCAUGGGAGAAAGACAGCAUCUCACUCUGUGGCCCAGGCUGGAGUGUGGUGGCACUAUCACAGUUCAUUACAGCCUCAACGUCUCGGACUCAGAUGAUCCUGCCACCUCAAUCUCCCAAGUAGUUGGGACCACAGAAGUGAUUCAGCACUCAGGAUUAUUGCCCACACCCCUACGAUUGCACCCCCAAGCAAUCACCAGCAAGCACCCAAUGCCUAGCCAUCCCCACCCCUUCCCCCAAACUACCUUUGAAAAACCCCUAACCUACCAGCCUUCAAUGAGAUUGAUUUGAGUAAUAACUCCAUCUCCAGUGUGGAGUGGCCAGCCUCACAUCAAUUAAACUCUUUCUUUACUGCAAUGCUAUGGUCUUUGUUUGUGCAGCAGGCAGGAAGAACUCCUCAGGCAGUUACACUUCGAGCCUUAAGACACCUUGAUGUCAGACUUCCAGUGCCCUGAAUUGUGACAGAAUAAAUUUCUGUUGUUUUAAAA